UAUCAUUUGCGUAGGGUACAGAGGUUAAGAUGUUCCAUCUUUCAGACCUUUUUUAUUCGCUAGAAAUAGUGACAAGCCGAAUUAUGGCGCUCCAGCAUUUUUGUGCUGGAGCUUUUUUUU
rnacentral:other from 1 species